UCCUCUUCUUCCCCAAAAAAAUAUCUUAGAAACGUAGAGUGGCUGAACACCCUUUCGGCGGCAUCCUCCUAGUCCCUUGGACACACACAUACAGUAUAUACGUAUACAUUUUAAAUUGCAGAACGAAAGUCUCUGCGGUCGGAUAGUUUCUCCGAUGGCGGCAUCAAACUAAUGGCUCUCUUAGCCCUAAUUCUCACAUCAAUUUCGGCAGUUUGAGCAACUGAAGACAACGACCUCUCCAAAUUAGAGGAUUAAGAUUCAUCUCUGAAGAUCGAACUUGACCAACUCAAUUCAAAGAUCUCCUUUCUAGAAUCCAUCAUUGAUGAGAGAACCCUUGAAUUGAAAAUCAAUGAUGAGAGGAUCAAGCAGAUGGAGAAGAUUACUGAAGAAAAAUCAGCUACCCAUUGCAUCGUUACAUAGUGAGAUACAAUCACUCCAGAUCGAAAAACGCAGACAAGAAAAAAGAUGUUUGAGAAGCCCGAGCAAAUGCAGCUAAGAAGAAAAUCCUGGAAGUGAACUCAAAAAUGAAGACCAGCAUUGGAUGUCACACUUCAAAAGGUCUUGCUUAUGUUUUGUCAUAGAACUCAUAUAUCAUCAUUUUUGUCAAUUUGGUGUAGGUAUUUGUGAACAUGCAUAUUUUGUUGUGCAGUGUAAGCUGUUGGAUUCCAAUGCUUUUGUAGCUCAGCCUUCAGCUCCAAAAGGAAAUAAAAAUGUCAUUACCAUUUUAGAAGCUAGAAACAUCAUGCAUAGAGAAAUAUGUUGCAGUGUCAUCACCCUUUGUUUGUAAAUUUGAUACUUAUUGUUGACCUGCAGUACAGAACAUACAAAUUGAAGUUUUGUACA